ACUCCUACGGGAGGCAGCAGUGGGAAUCUUAGACAAUGGGAACCGUAGCAUCUAGCCAUGCCGCGUGAGCGAUGAAGGCCUUAGGGUUGUAAAGCUCUUUCAGCUGGGAAGAUAAUGACGGUACCAGCAGAAGAAGCCCGCGUACAUCCGUGCCAGCAGCCGCGGUAAUACGGAGGGGCGUAGCGUUGUUCGGAAUUACUGGGCGUAAAGCGCACGUAGGCGGAUUGGUAAGUUGGGGGUGAAAUCCCGGGGCUC
rnacentral:rRNA from 1 species